rnacentral:rRNA from 1 species
UACAGAGGGGGCAAGCGUUAUUCGGAAUUAUUGGGCGUAAAGGGCGCGUAGGCGGCCUGGCAAGUGGAAGGUGAAAUCCCUCGGCUUAACCGAGGAACUGCCCUCCAAACUGCUUGGCUUGAGUCCGGGAGAGGUGAGUGGAAUUCCCAGUGUAGCGGUGAAAUGCGUAGAUAUUGGGAGGAACACCAGUGGCGAAGGCGGCUCACUGGACCGGAACUGACGCUGAUGCGCGAAAGCGUGGGGAGCAAACGGGG